GAUGAACGCUGGCGGCGUGCUUAAUACAUGCCAGUCGAGCGGACAGGCGCGUUUGUGGGUACUCGAAUGGUAAAGGGGUACGUGACAGGAACGUGUGCAUAACCUGCCUUUAGGACUAGUUUAAGUUAGUGGAGCUGAUGCCAAUUCCGAAUCAUAGAUGCAACGUCAUGGUUGAAUAGCGUAAGAGGUUUUUGCUGUCAUUGCUGCAUGUAUCCGCGUCGGUUUAGCUAUUUGGUAAGGUAACGGCUUACCAAGGCGACGAUGAGUAGCCGACCUGAGAGGGUGAUGGGCCACACUGGAACUGAGACACGGUACAGACUCCUACGGACGGCAGAAGUAGGGAAUGUUCGGAAAUGGGCGAAAGCCUGCAGGAGCAACGCAGCGUGAGUGAUGAAGGUCUUCGGAUCGUAAAACUCUGUUAUUAGGGAAGAACAAUUGUGUAAGUAACUAUGCACGUCUUGACGGUACCUAAUCAGAAAGCAACGGCUAACUACGUG
rnacentral:rRNA from 1 species